GGGACUAGAAAACUGCUAAAAGAGCCAAAACAAAGAGCAGAGGCAGGGAGAGAUCUGAGUUGGGGACCGAGUCAAGCCCGAGUUAGGUCACGUCACGCCAUCGUCUUGUCAGCAUUAUUUGGCAGUGAAGAUCCUGACCGUUAGAUUUCAUUCGUGUCAACCAUCUGAUUCUUCUCUCUCUCUCUCUCUCUCUCUCUCUCUCACGCUGCCUCCGCGGAUUUGAAGCGCACAAUCUACAGGAAAAAAGCUGCAAUUAAGAAGCGGAACGAUCGGGUCGGGUUUUGGGGGUUGUUUUCUUGUACGACUCGGUGCUUUCUCAGAUUUGAACUUUGUGGAAGCUUGUUACAGACUAAUGGGGCUCAAGAUCGCUUGAUUAAAGUGCGAUUUAGUGUUUGGAAGCUGAGAAAAUAUGGGAGAAGUUUGGGCAACAUUGAGGGGAAUAAAUAAUAAUUAUCUUAUGUAGUAGUUCAUGCACGAAGUUUGAUGAUAAUUGAUCUCUUUCAUUUGGGUAUGAUUUGGACUCUCAGAAACACCUAAAGAUGAUUUGUGGUAGGACAGGGCUGAAUAGUAGAAGCCCUAGCCUACUGGGUGUUCUCUACUAAGUAAAGCCCUAGAAAUUUUGAGAACUAUACUUGCCAGAAAAUGGAACAGAUUUCAUAGCUGAGAAAUAGAAAUAUAGAGAAUCAAUGGAAGAUAUCUCCAAGUAUUCCCACAGUCCUGCCCACUUUGCAGUUGCACGACGUGAUUAUGCAGCCCUCAGGCGCAUUAUCUCAACCUUACCAUCUCUUGCCAAGGCUGGUGAAAUUAAUACAGAAGAAGAGUCUCUUGCUGCUGAAGAACGAGCUGAUGCUGUUUCUGCUGUCAUUGAUCAUCGAGAUGUUCCUGGUCGCGAGACUCCUUUGCAUCUUGCAGUAAAAUUGCGAGACCCAAUCUCUGCUGAGAUUUUGAUGGCAGCUGGUGCAGAUUGGAGCCUGCAGAAUGAAAAUGGUUGGAGUGCUCUUCAAGAAGCAGUUUGCACAAGAGAGGAGCAGAUUGCUAUGAUAAUUGCUCGGCAUUACCAGCCUCUUGCUUGGGGAAAAUGGUGUCGUCGGCUUCCACGAAUUGUUGCUUCAUCAGCCNCGUGACUUUUACAUGGAGAUAACAUUCCAUUUUGAGAGUUCAGUUAUCCCAUUUAUUGGACGCAUUGCCCCCUCAGAUACUUAUCGCAUUUGGAAGCGUGGUUCUAACCUCCGUGCUGACAUGACUCUUGCUGGGUUUGAUGGUUUUCGCAUUCAAAGGUCAGAUCAAACAUUUCUCUUCUUGGGUGAGGGGUAUUCUUCGGAGGAUAGUAAUAUAUCUUUGCCACCAGCUUCUUUGAUUGUUCUUGCUCACAAGGAAAAAGAAGUUACUAAUGCUUUGGAGGGGGCUGGUGCCCAACCAACAGAAGCAGAAGUUGCCCAUGAAGUGGCUUUAAUGUCUCAAACUAAUAUGUAUAGGCCAGG
rnacentral:misc_RNA from 1 species